rnacentral:tRNA from 1 species
GCCGGGAUGGCGGAAUCGGUAGACGCGACAGACUUAAAAUCUGUUGCCCCAAAGGGCGUGCGGGUUCAAGUCCCGCUCCCGGCACCA